rnacentral:rRNA from 1 species
UACAGGGGGGGCAAGCGUUGUUCGGAAUUACUGGGCGUAAAGGGUUCGUAGGUGGCCAACUAAGUCAGACGUGAAAUCCCUCAGCUUAACUGGGGAACUGCGUCUGAUACUGGAUGGCUUGAGUGUAGGAGAGGAAUGCGGAAUUCCAGGUGUAGCGGUGAAAUGCGUAGAUAUCAGGAGGAACACCGGUGGCGAAGGCGGGUCUCUGGGCAGUAACUGACGCUGAGGAGCGAAAGCGUGGGGAGCGAACAGG